AGAAAUUCUUCUUUACUGGUCCGUAAAAGGGAUUGGUCUCUCAAUAAAUAUUUUUAUUGAAAAACCAGUCGUGACAUAGGCAGUCCUUAAUAUUGCCAAGUAUUUUUGUGACAGGUCUCACGGUUAACAAAAUUCAGUUGGUAUUAAAAGGAAAAUGCAAAACAGUAAAGAAGAUAGAAAACGGAAAACAGAAAGAGAAAAAGGCCUAAAAAUUACUGUACAUCUAGGCUUAAGUAUGCACAGUACACAUUCGGCCCAGCCCAGCCGCACCUCUCCUUCUACCUCCGCUACAAGAGGCUGUGAGGUUACCCCUCAAUCUCCCUUGGUUCGAAUUCGAGCUUGUCAUCACGAUGACCUGUACCUUGUCAUCAUUGUUGCGGCCACCAGCGUCUCCCGUGUGCGGGAGCAAGUCCUGGAGGUCCGUCGCGCUCUACCACGUUCAUUUAGGGCAUUGAAGCAAGGAGGAGAGCUGUGUAGACGACGUCAUCGUCUUCUUCUUCGUCCGGCCAUAGCAAUCUCGCCAUCGUCGCCGUCUCUUCGGUCCACCCCGACCCUUCCCGAGGACGCCAACGGACUCGCGGUGAGCCCUCCUUCGGUUUGCCCUGUUUCCCCCUCGAAUCUGUCGUUGUAGUGCCCCCCUCCCCUUUGCAUCGGCGGUCAUGGCAGGGAGCUCGGCUCCAUCGCCGCGAGCCCCUGCCCGCGCCAGCCAUGCUCCCUCGGGGGCGGCCGCCCGGGCCCUCGAAAUCUAGGGGGCCCCCUCCGGCCAUGUCGCAUGUGAGAUUACCUAGCUACGCAGUGACAACGCCGUCCCCCGAAGCAGAUUUUUUUUAGGGAAAUCGCACGCAGCAGGAGGUAGCGGACGACGAUAACAGAGUACGUUCAUCGUGUUUUCUUCCUUGCACAAUCGCAGGGGCCGUAGUAAUUUUGUUUGAGAAUGAAUCGCAGGGGCGAGCGCACAGCCGCACGACAUCAUCCACCGUGAGAUACUGGGCCUGGCCCAGCUCGUGGGCAGCAUGACCAUCACUGCAGAAGCCCCCGGCAAGCGCACAACGCCCACGUCCCCUUUUUCCCAUCGUGGAUGCCUACAGCCCACACGAAAAUUAGUCGUGAAUCACGGCAACGCCAUCGCCGUCAUCAGGAUAUCGCCCAUGGCAGCGGCGACGGGGAAGGAGCACACCGGGAGGCUCCUCAUCAGAUUCCGGGCUUAGAAGAUGGUUCUAAUGCUUCAUCAAAGAACAAUCUUUUUUAUCGAGGACAUUUAUAAGGAAGCGCUGGAUGUGUUUAUGAUGGCUGAGACCUCGAGACUGACGAUGACGCCACCGAGUACGACUACACCCCAGACGUUCACCCACUUGCAGCAGAGCUUCUAGGCAAGCAAAAAAAAACUAUCAUUCCUCUGAGUUCACCUUGAUGGUAAGGACACACUGAUACCUUUAACUGUUACCCAAAUAACUGUUAUUGCGGGACUGAAGGGACAGGUGGGACAGCCCCGAUAGAGGUGGACCUGAGUUCCCUACUGUCUCUGGAUAAGUCAGGUUAACCAUGAGGGUACCCGCGAGAUAAUGACGAGGCACGACCGGUUAGGCAGAGACCGCCCCAGAGAGGGAUGGGCCUGGCCCUUAUCGUAAGUCCGCGAGACGGGGUGAUAGGAUCAUUGAUCGUUUCCGUGAGCUCCCAAUACACUAACGGGUUUGGAUAUGUGAUCUGAGUAGGCCUCUGGCCUUUUUGCACUAACCACCGCGCGGGAAUAAGUAUGGGCACUCGGCGUCGUACAAUUCUUCCGAAAGCUCAUUGACGUUAGCAGUUGAGUGGCGUGCGCCCUGUUGGAUGGUAACCACCACCGCUUGUUGAGGUGGGUCUGCUCCAUGUUGCGUUCGCAACACGCGGGAGUGCAAAGGACGAUUGGCCCAUGACCCCUUCGCACUUAGGAUUUAGACCGGCGUGUUGGCCUCUCUA